rnacentral:rRNA from 1 species
CCUACGGGUGGCUGCAGUGGGGAAUAUUGGACAAUGGGGGCAACCCUGAUCCAGCCAUGCCGCGUGUGUGAAGAAGGCCCUCGGGUUGUAAAGCACUUUCAGUGAGGAAGAACGCCUGGUGGUUAAUACCCAUCAGGAAAGACAUCACUCACAGAAGAAGCACCGGCUAACCCCGUGCCAGCAGCCGCGGUAAUACGGAGGGUGCGAGCGUUAAUCGGAAUUACUGGGCGUAAAGCGCGCGUAGGUGGCUUGAUAAGCCGGUUGUGAAAGCCCCGGGCUCAACCUGGGAACGGCAUCCGGAACUGUCAAGCUAGAGUGCAGGAGAGGAAGGUAGAAUUCCCGGUGUAGCGGUGAAAUGCGUAGAGAUCGGGAGGAAUACCAGUGGCGAAGGCGGCCUUCUGGACUGACACUGACACUGAGGUGCGAAAGCGUGGGUAGCAAACAGGAUUAGAUACCCUUGUAGUC